rnacentral:tRNA from 1 species
GAGACAUGGCUCAGCUGGUUAGCGCGCUGCGUUCACAUCGCAGAGGUCGUGGGUUCAAGUCCCUCUGUCUCC